AGCUGAUCAAACAGCAGUGAUGGAUCUCUGCUAGAAUCUUGUUCAGUAGCCACUGCCUCAUUAAGGUGACGGUCAUGGUGGGCUUUGUGUGUAGAGGAGAAAACUGGCUUGCAGAAGUUCAUGAUCUGUGUGAAAAAAAGUGUACAAAUGGUUGACGUGUGGGUGUGUAAGUAUUAGGAAGCUGAUGGUUUGUGUGUGUGUUUGUGUUAGGAGACUAUUACGAAUACGAACAGGACGACCGUACAGAUGAUGAUGAUGGAGAAGAGCCUAUAUUCUCAGAGGACGAGGCAGUGACUCAACGUGGCGUACGCCGUUCCCAAAGCGUCAAGAUCACACGCUCCAAAUUACGCAAGGACGCUCGUUAUGGCUCCCUGCGAAUCAAAACCAA